AUCAGUUAUUCUUUUCUCCACCUAUCGUACCUGCAAGCAAGAAAGCAAGAACCAUUCUUCAACUUCUAUUCAAGAAACCACAUCCGGAGGAACCUCUUUGUUCACCCAACACUAUUAUCAUCCCAAUUCAACUUCAGGCAGAAGGUUGAGCGGCGACGAGGAUGUGGUGGUGUUGAGCAAGUGAACCUAAUAUGUUAUUGAUGUCUUUGAACCUUGAGUGUCGUUGUGUCGUCACACAUGACGUCACUCUUUCUCUUGGUCGUGUCCGCUGUGACGUGUCAUUAAAUUAUGAUUUAUUUGGGCCGACAACUU